rnacentral:rRNA from 1 species
AACGCGAAGAACCUUACCAGGAUUUGACAUGGGGAGGCUUGGUACAGAGAUGUAUCUUUCCCGCAAGGGACCUUCCGCACAGGUGCUGCAUGGCUGUCGUCAGCUCGCGUCGUGAGAUGUUGGGUUAAGUCCCGCAACGAGCGCAACCCUCGCCUUUAGUUGCCAUCAUUUAGUUGGGCACUCUAAAGGAACUGCCGGUGACAAGCCGGAGGAAGGUGGGGAUGACGUCAAGUCCUCAUGGCCCUUAUGUCCUGGGCUACACACGUGCUACAAUGGUGGUGACAGUGGGAAGCUAGGCGGUGACGCCGUGCUGAUCUCUAAAAGCCAUCUCAGUUCGGAUUGUACUCUGCAACUCGAGUACAUGAAGGUGGAAUCGCUAGUAAUCGUGGAUCAGCAUGCCACGGUGAAUACGUUCCCGGGUCUUGUACACACCG